GGUUCUCCCAGUCCUCAUCUGGUGGCAUCUCUGGAAUGAACACCCAGUCUGCACCACAGGCCAGAGCUGUCACCAGGGCCAGCUGGGAUAGAGCUUCAUCUGCGUGUGAUUGAAGGGGGGGUAACAGUUCUGCUUUACCUCUGCGCAGUCGUUGUGAUGGCGUCCACCACCUCGAUGAUGCGGUGCAGGGCAGAGUCAGUGCCGAUGGUCAUGUCAGUGCCACAGAAGUCAUUGUCGAUGGAGCCCACCAUGCCAACGAUGUUCAGCUUUGACAAGGUCUGCCAGAAGUCCGCUCCACUCAGUCCUGAACUCAUUGGCUCCAGUCAGACUACCAUCUCCUCCAAUCACACACAAGUUGGUGAUGCCCAGCUUCACCAGGUUGCAAGCUGCAGUCAUACGACCAUCUCUGGAGCGGAAGUCCUUACAGCGAGCACUGCCGAUGACUGUACCUCCCUUAAACAUCAAGAGCAGCUGUUUUUGAUACAGUCACUGAUAUAAAAAUGUCACAACUCUGCCAGGUCUCUUUGUUUAGAUCACACAGACUACAGAAGGUAGUGUGAAUAAUAAGUUACACAGUUUUGUUGGGUUUUUAUCAUCUUUCAUUCAGGCUUGAGGCACCUGCAGUUUAUGUAUUACACUACUGCUGCUGAGUCUA